UAAUGAAUUAAAUUAUUAUGUUAUUGGUUCAUGAUUUUCUACAUUUUUCUUAAC
rnacentral:sRNA from 1 species